AUUGAACGCUGGCGGCAGGCCUAACACAUGCAAGUCGAACGAGUGGCGGACGGGUGAGUAAUGUCUGGGAAACUGCCUGAUGGAGGGGGAUCACUACUGGAAACGGUGGCUAAUACCGCAUACCAUCGGAUGUGCCCAGAUGGGAUUAGCUAGUAGGUGGGGUAAAGGCUCACCUAGGCGACGAUCCCUAGCUGGUCUGAGAGGAGAACCAGCCACACUGGAAGUGAGACACGGUCCAGACUCCUAGGGGAGGCAGCAGUGGGGAAUAUUGCACAAGGGGCGCAAGCCGGAUGCAGCCAUGCCGCGUGUAUGAAGAAGGCCUUCGGGUUGUAAAGUACUUUCAGCGGGGAGGCGUUACCCGCAGAAGAAGCACCGGCUAACUCCGUGCCAGCAGCGGCGGUAUAC
rnacentral:rRNA from 1 species